UUGACCUCGGAUCAGGUAAGGAAACCCAACUUCCCU
rnacentral:rRNA from 1 species